rnacentral:lncRNA from 1 species
UUCAACUUUCAACUACUAUCCCUACGUUGUGCUGCAAAAUUCGUAUAAGACUUUCAAUCAGUCAUCACGGUGCCUAGUUCAUCGCAGUACUUAUUCAACUUCCAACCACAAAGGGUAGGAGUUACAUGGCAUCGCACAAUUCGUUUACAGGUACUCCGAGAUGCUGUCGCCGCAGUUAUGACCCCCUGGACUUCCU